UACGGAGGGUGCGAGCGUUGUCCGGAAUCACUGGGCGUAAAGGGCGCGUAGGUUGUGGAGUAAGCGUGCGGUGAAAGCUUGGGGCUCAACCCCGAGUCGGCCGUGCGAACUGCUCGACUUGAGCACUGUAGAGGCAGGUGGAAUUCCGGGUGUAGCGGUGGAAUGCGUAGAGAUCCGGAAGAACAUCGGUGGCGAAGGCGGCCUGCUGGGCAGUAGCUGACACUGAGGCGCGACAGCGUGGGGAGCAAACAGG
rnacentral:rRNA from 1 species